AACGGCCAUACCAUGCUGAAUAUACCGGUUCUCGUUAGAUCACCGAAGUCAAGCAUCAUUGGGCGCGGUCAGUACUUGGGUGGGUGACCACCUGGGAAUACCGCGUGCCGUU